UACAGAGGGGGCAAGCGUUGUUCGGAAUUACUGGGCGUAAAGGGCGCGUAGGCGGCCUUCUAAGUCGAACGUGAAAUCCCCGGGCUUAACCGGGGAACUGCGUCUGAUACUGGAUGGCUCGAGUUUGGGAGAGGGAUGCGGAAUUCCAGGUGUAGCGGUGAAAUGCGUAGAUAUCUGGAGGAACACCGGUGGCGAAGGCGGCAUCCUGGACCAACACUGACGCUGAGUGAGCGAAAGCCAGGGGAGCAAACGGG
rnacentral:rRNA from 1 species